ACGAGUACUUACACGGAUAGGACG
rnacentral:siRNA from 1 species